CCCCUUCCUCCCUUCACCCCCUCUCCCUCCCCUCUCCCCUCUUCAGAUCCAUCGCUUGCCGCUACACAGAUCCACAGCCUACUGCUGCUCAGAUCCACCCAUUGCUCCCCUCCCUAGCUAGCUCAAGGACCACCUCCGCAUCCUCCUCCCCCUCAUCCUGGUGCCUCGCCCCCAUAGCUAUUUCGAGCCCUAUGCCCCGUGGCAGGAGGCGGCAGGACAGCAGCCACACGAGCAGGCAUUGGGGUUGGUGUACAACGCGGCGAGCGGGACGACGGCCGUGAUUUGUGAGCUCUGUUCCACUGCACGUAGGCAAACCAGUGUAGGUGCGUGAUGCAUGGAGGCAGCUUCUCAAGCACCGUGGUGAAGGCCCACUCACUCCCCUUCGCCCACAGAUGCAGAACCUGCAGAUGGGCGAGGGGAGCUUCUUCUUUGGUGGAGCUUUGUGACCUUCAACAUUUUAUAAGCAGGAGCCAGGGAGGGUGACAUGUUCAAGUGAUUAUGAGCACGAGCUUGAAUUUGCAUGGCAAUAAACUACUUCGGAGCCGCCGCCGGCUCCUGCUACUUCGGAGCCAAGGGAAUCGAGGGUGUUUUCCGCUCCUGCCUCCAUCUCGAGGACCAUCAAGCGCCUCUAUGGCCUCGCUAAAUUUGAGCCCAUCAAGGCUAUGGAUCCGGGGGCAGUCAUCAAAGCUGCACUGGGAAGCCGCAGCAGCGGCUUGGAACCAUCGCCCGACAGUAAGCACAAGCAGCUGUCCAGCAGCGAGCUGCAACCUGCAAGCAUAAGCAGAGUUAUUUGCAAUCGUAUUGUACAUAUACGCAACAUUAAGGGAACACAUAUAUGUGAUCCUCAUGAUGGUGGUCCACCACUAGGGGGAGAAUGCUGGUACAAUUGCACCCUUGAGGACAUAGCUAGGGAGGAAAAGAAGCGACUGCUCCCGGAAGGUGCAAAUCUUGUGCCUUUUCUUUUUCCCCUCUAUAGUAUCUGUUAAAAACAACCCAAACUGACUUGAUGACUAUUAUAGAGAUGGAACUUUUGCUAUCUCCAUGUGUUGUUGACUUCUGUUUUGUAUGUUAUUGGAGCCAUUUGACAGGCACAAGGACAAACAGUAGUGUGGUUUAGAAAAGCCCUAGCCGUUGAACCUGUCAAGGGCAAUCUGCGGCUCAGUGGGUGCUCAGCUUGUGGUCACGAUGGAGGUGUGUACAGCUCCCCCAUGUGUAUGUUGAAGUCCUCAAAAGUGUGUUCAUAAGUAGGUUGAUGUACUUUUCUUUUCUGCCUCAAGUUUCUUCAGCAGAUCAACACUAUAACAUGCUCUACAUCUGUAAGGCUGCUAACAUUUUUUUGUAUAUCCAGAGUUUAAUUAGAGUUUUCAAUUUUUGAUCCAUAGUGAAAUAAAGACUUUCCUUUUUUAUUACAGAUUUGGUGUUUGGUGAUCAGAAAGUUCAUCAGAUCAUCAUCGGCAGCAGUUUAGUUGCACCUCAACCUAGCUUGAUUUUAUUCAUGUCUAACUUGAUAUUAGUUGUAGUACCUCCAAUCUUUUUGUUUGGUGGUAGUUUUAAUCAUUGGCUGUAAUCAGCAGUACAACAGUUGAGGCAAUCAUGAUUUGUAUGUGGUAGUAGUUUUGAAACUAUGAGAAUAUUUGGAAUUUAGAUGAGGUGAAACUUU